rnacentral:rRNA from 1 species
CCUACGGGUGGCAGCAACUGGGAAUAUUGCGCAAUGGGCGAAAGCCUGACGCAGCGACACCGCGUGUGGGAUUAAGGCCUUCGGGUUGUAAACCACUGUGGCGAGGGAUGAAUUUUGACCGUACCUCGCUAGAAAGCACCUGCUAACCACGUGCCAGAAGCCUCGGUAAUACGUGGGGUGCAAGCGUUAUCCGGAUUUACUGGGCGUAAAGCGUGCCGUCGGUGUUUAAGUAAGUUCUUUGUUUAAGCCUAGGGCUCAACUCUAGAAAAGCAGGGAAAACUACUUGAAUUGAGUUUGUUCGGGGAAGCUGGAAUUCUCGGUGGAGGGGUGAAAUCCGUAGAUAUCGAGAGGAACGCCAUACGCGAAGGCAGGCUUCUAGGACAUAACUGACACUCAGGGACGACAGCUCGGGGAGCAAAAGGGAUUAGAUACCCGAGUAG